rfam:Bradyrhizobium manausense strain BR3351 contig1954, whole genome shotgun sequence.
AGAGUCCGUUACGAUGAAGGAGUAGCGCCCCAUGUGGGCCCCAAGCCGUGCGGCAGCGUCCGUGAGGGCGCUGGCGAAGCGUCGGCAGGGGAGCAUGCAGGCCAGCCAUUGAGCGGCGAAAGAAGAUUGUCCCGGGAGCCGACGCUGUACUCAGAGCGGAAGGCGACGCGGACAGGUGCAACAACGCGAGCACCUGGACGUCCCCGGCGUUACUCGGAAUCA